CAGGUUGAGCCCAGGGCUUUCACAACGGACUUAAACGACCACCUACGCACGCUUUACGCCCAGUAAUUCCGAGUAACGCUUGCACCCUUCGUAUUACCGCGGCUGCUGGCACGAAGUUAGCCGGUGCUUAUUCUUUGGGUACCGUCAUCCCAACCGGGUAUUAGCCAGCUGGAUUUCUUUCCCAACAAAAGGGCUUUACAACCCGAAGGCCUUCUUCACCCACGCGGUAUGGCUGGAUCAGGCUUGCGCCCAUUGUCCAAUAUUCCCCACUGCUGCCUCCCGUAGGAGUCUGGACCGUGUCUCAGUUCCAGUGUGGCUGAUCAUCCUCUCAGAC
rnacentral:rRNA from 1 species